UACGAAGGGGGCUAGCGUUGUUCGGAAUUACUGGGCGUAAAGCGCACGUAGGCGGAUAUUUAAGUCAGGGGUGAAAUCCCAGAGCUCAACUCUGGAACUGCCUUUGAUACUGGGUAUCUUGAGUAUGGAAGAGGUAAGUGGAAUUGCGAGUGUAGAGGUGAAAAUUCGUAGAUAUUCGCAGGAACACCAGUGGCGAAGGCGGCUCACUGGCCCGAUACUGACGCUGAGGCACGAAAGCGUGGGGAGCAACAGGGAUAGAA
rnacentral:rRNA from 1 species